GACGAACCGUGCGAACGUUAUUCGGAAUCACUGGUCUUAAAGCGCGUGUAGGCGGAGCGGUACGUCGGCCACUGAAAGCCCCCGGCUCAACCGGGGAAGGGGUGCCGAAACGGCCAUUCUGGAGGGACGUAGGGGGACCUGGAACUUCCGGUGGAGCGGUGAAAUGCGUUGAGAUCGGAAGGAACGCCCGUGGCGAAAGCGAGGUCCUGGACGUCUACUGACGCUGAGACGCGAAAGCUAGGGGAGCGAACGGG
rnacentral:rRNA from 1 species